rnacentral:rRNA from 1 species
GACGAACGCUGGUGGCGUGCUUGACACAUGCAAGUCGAACGGUAAGGCUCCAGCUUGCUGGGGUACACGAGUGGCGAACGGGUGAGUAACACGUGGGUGACCUGCCCUGCACUUCGGGAUAAGCCUGGGAAACUGGGUCUAAUACCGGAUAGGACCGCACCGUGAGGGUGUGGUGGAAAGUUUUUUCGGUGUGGGAUGGGCCCGCGGCCUAUCAGCUUGUUGGUGGGGUAAUGGCCUACCAAGGCGGCGACGGGUAGCCGGCCUGAGAGGGUGGACGGCCACAUUGGGACUGAGACACGGCCCAGACUCCUACGGGAGGCAGCAGUGGGGAAUAUUGCACAAUGGGCGGAAGCCUGAUGCAGCGACGCCGCGUGGGGGAUGACGGCCUUCGGGUUGUAAACUCCUUUCACCAUCGACGAAGGGUUUCUGACGGUAGAUGGAGAAGAAGCACCGGCUAACUACGUGCCAGCAGCCGCGGUAAUACGUAGGGUGCGAGCGUUGUCCGGAAUUACUGGGCGUAAAGAGCUCGUAGGUGGUUUGUCGCGUCGUCUGUGAAAUUCCGGGGCUUAACUCCGGGCGUGCAGGCGAUACGGGCAUAACUUGAGUACUGUAGGGGAGACUGGAAUUCCUGGUGUAGCGGUGAAAUGCGCAGAUAUCAGGAGGAACACCGGUGGCGAAGGCGGGUCUCUGGGCAGUAACUGACGCUGAGGAGCGAAAGCAUGGGGAGCGAACAGGAUUAGAUACCCUGGUAGUCCAUGCCGUAAACGGUGGGCGCUAGGUGUGGGUUUCCUUCCACGGGAUCCGUGCCGUAGCUAACGCAUUAAGCGCCCCGCCUGGGGAGUACGGCCGCAAGGCUAAAACUCAAAGGAAUUGACGGGGGCCCGCACAAGCGGCGGAGCAUGUGGAUUAAUUCGAUGCAACGCGAAGAACCUUACCUGGGCUUGACAUAUACAGGAUCGCGCCAGAGAUGGUGUUUCCCUUGUGGCUUGUAUACAGGUGGUGCAUGGUUGUCGUCAGCUCGUGUCGUGAGAUGUUGGGUUAAGUCCCGCAACGAGCGCAACCCUUGUCUUAUGUUGCCAGCACGUUGUGGUGGGGACUCGUAAGAAACUGCCGGGGUUAACUCGGAGGAAGGUGGGGAUGACGUCAAAUCAUCAUGCCCCUUAUGUCCAGGGCUUCACACAUGCUACAAUGGUCGGUACAGUGGGUUGCCAGUCCGUGAGGGCGAGCUAAUCCCGCAAAGCCGGUCUCAGUUCGGAUCGGGGUCUGCAACUCGACCCUGUGAAGUCGGAGUCGCUAGUAAUCGCAGAUCAGCAACGCUGCGGUGAAUACGUUCCCGGGCCU